rnacentral:rRNA from 1 species
UACGUAGGUGGCAAGCGUUACUCGGAAUCACUAGGCGUAAAGCGCAGGUAGGCGGUUCGGAAAGUCCUUUGUGAAAGCUCCCGGCUUAACUGGGAGAGGCCAAGGGAAACUACCGGGCUAGAGUGUGGUAGAGGAAGCUGGAAUUCCCGGUGUAGCGGUGAAAUGCGUAGAUAUCGGGAGGAAUACCUAUGGCGAAAGCACGCUUCUGGGCCAUCACUGACGCUGAUCUGCGAAAGCUAGGGGAGCAAACAGG